GAUGGUUGCUCCCAUCUUGGCUUCAGCGCAGAAGCAGAGGCUUAAUUUAAAGAGGGAGCCAUUUUGAACGGAGGGAAGAUUAGUGCUCAAUGGAGACGAAACUGAAAGGGUGGAAAGAGGAUGGCGUCCAAGAGCCCAAGUGAUUGUCAGAGCAUGCCGGAUCACAGGAUAAAGAACUCUCACAGUAAACCUGUUUGAAGUGUUUUGUCUCGUGUCGUUCCGGAACCUAACACAUUGUCAGUGCUCUCCCUUUAUUCUGCUUAAAUACAACAAGAGCAUGGCAGAGGGGACUCAGCCAGGCUUGGAAACAGAGGACUUGGCGGAGUCAGCGGUGCAGGCUAAAGUGGCUACUCCAGAAGAAAUGCCUAUUCAAAUCUGGGGCCAGAUGUUUGGCCUAAGGAGCGCACAGCACCCCUCCUUCCAUCCCGGCUAGACCAGGAGCUGGUGGACGCCGAACAGGUCAUGCUGCCAAGGACUGAGGGUGUGCGGGAGUGGUGGUUAGGCUCCCUGAGGCAAGGGGAUUAUGGGGCACCCCCUCCUCCACCAGCGCUCACCUCUUCCAGAAGCCACUUUACUCAAUAGUGUGAAAGACGUAUCUCAGAGGAUGAGUGGAGUUACUAAAUCGUUUUAUGGAGCCAAACUCUGGAUGUGUUGUGUGAAAUGUUUGGACCCGCAGGGUUCAAGGGGCUGAACUCUGGGAGAGGGCGGAGAAGAGGUGUGGAACCUCUACUGACACGUAGUACCCAUCCCCCAGAAGAGGAGUUACCCAGAGGCUGGACGCAGCCCUAGAUUGGACGGGGGAAGCCCCACAGACCAGGAGACCUUCAACUACCCAAGACCUUGAACAUCGCAUGGGACCAGACGGGGUGUUGAGGCAAGGCAACUGGGCUCCUCUCCCAUCCUGGCUGUUACCAAAUCAGGGUCAGGGCCCAAUGGGCCAAUGGGAACUAUCGGCUGUAUGGGCCUCAUUCGAUGGUAGCCCAGACAGGGUUGCCCUGAUAGACCAUCUGGAAAAGUAUGGCCAUUUAUAUACUUCCCAGCAGGGUCGAUUUGAUUUAAAUCAAACUGAUUUAAAUCACUAGUCAGUAAGGCUUGAUUUAAAUCAUAGUUUUCUACAUAAAGACUAAUUCUUGCUGGUAUAAUUUUAAUAUGCAAGUAGAUGAAGAUUUUUAGAAUAACAACUUUUCAUAUUAGUUUUUUUAUCCCCAGUUUAAUAGGUUAAUCAUUCAUAUUUGGACAACUUUUCUGUUGUACUUAGGAAGGAGAAAAAUAAUCAUUACCUUAAUAAUAACAAUUUAAAUAGAUUUAUUCAACUGAAACAAUAACAUUACAGCAUAUGUUAUUUGCUUAAACAAACAUCCAUGUUUGUUAACUAAUUUGGCUAAACAAAAUAUAUAUAUUUUAAGAAACUUAGACUGUCAGCCCAGCCUACACAUGAAAAACUUAAAUACUGUCCUCUGUAGCUCACUCGUCAUCUUCAUCUUCUUUGUUCAUAAUCUGGAAAAGAAAAACAAGCUUUCCUGCUUUAUCGGGUCCCAAACGAUUUCUCAAUUUAGAAUGAAUGAGUCCAAAGGAAAAGAAUAUUCUUUCAACGCCUGCAGAAGAAGCUACUGCUGUUAAAAGUGAAAUCAUUACUUGAACAGUCUCUAAAUCCAAGUGCUUAAGUGUCUUCCACCAGUUCACGGGUGUGACUUUCUUUAAAAUAUCUUCAGCAAACAUAUAUUUCUUGAAUGGUUCCCCCUUAGCUUUGAAGUUUAUUAUAGUUGGCAUUACAGAUGGAUGAUUGCUGGAUACCCAUGUCAUAGCUAACUCCUCUUCCUCAGCACUUAAGUUUUGACCCUGAUACUGGAUAUUGACAAUAUUUGCCAAAAAAUGAGCUGGAGACACUACUUGUCCCAUGCUUGUAAUUUAAUUCUGUCCAUGUGUAGUUCUGUUUUUAAGUGUUCACUCAGUUCCUUCUAAAUUUCAACAGCAUCAAGCAAUAAAACAGCUAUUUUUCUGUAUUUUGUUUAAAGCUUCAGAGAUGGGUUUCAGGAUGCUCAGCAUAUGUUCAACAUUUCUCUUAAGCCCAAUGUUGAGGAUUUUGGCCGUGACAGUGCCAUCUAUUUUAUCUCAAUUUUCUUCACAAACUGUCAUCAGAAUAGGCCAGUUCUUGAUAUACUGCUCAAAACAGUCCACCACAGAGUUCCAUCUAACAUCUUGUGGGAGCGUUAGCUUGGUUCCACCCAUCCUUUUCAGAGCUGCUGCAGCAAAAUGAUAGUUACAGAAGUAUUUAGCAAUUUCAACAACAUUAGUCUUUAUUUCUGGAACACUUAAGUCUUUGGCUAAGAGGUGCAGCAAAUGAGCACUGCAAUCAUAUGUUAUUAGCUUUGUAUUCCCUUCCCUUCUUCCCAUCUUGGAUACAUUUGCAGCAUUGUGACCAAACUGCAUACUAGACAUUUGAAUUUUUUGUGUCCAGACCAGACCACCCCAACAAUGCCCUUGAUGUGAUGUCUCGCUGCCUGGAGGCCGUGCAGGUCUGGAUGGGGAGGAACAGGCUCAGACUCAACCCCUCCAAGACUGAGUGGCUGUGGCUUCCGGCGUCCCAAUAUAGUCAGCAGGUGCCAUCGCUGACUAUUGGGGGUGAAUCUUUGCCCCCCACAGAGAGGGCUCGCAAUCUGGGUGUCCUCCUGGAUGCAUGGAUGUCUUUAGAAGAGCAUAUGACGGCCGUGGCCAGGGGGGCCUUUUAUCAGGUUCGCCCGAUUCACCAGUUGCAGCCCUUUCUGGACCGGGACGCCUUGCGCACGGUCACUCACGCCCUUGUCACCUCCCGGCUAGACUAUUGUAAUGCUCUCUACAUGGGGCUCCCCUUGAAGAGCACUCGGAGGCUCCAACUGGUCCAGAAUGCGGCCGCACGGGUGGUUAUGGGCGCAACUCGUUGUGCCCAUGUGACACCCCUCCUGCGCGAGCUGCACUGGCUCCCAGUGGUCUUCCGGGUGCGAUUCAAGGUGUUGGUUACCACCUUUAAAGCGCUCCAUGGCAUAGGACCCGGGUACCUUCGAGACCGACUUCUGCCACCAAUAGCUUCCCACCAGCCAGUUCGUUCCCACAGAGAGGGUCUCCUCAGGGUGCCAUCGGCCAAGUUAUGUCGGCUGGCGACACCCAGGGGGAGGGCCUUCUCUGUGGGACCCCAGCCCUGUGGAAUGAACUGCCCCCGGAAAUACGUAAGAUCCCCGACCUCCGGGUAUUUCGCUGUGCACUGAAGACCCUGUUGUUCCGCCAGGCCGGGCUAUCGACAUGAUAAUUUUAAAUUGGGGUAUUUUAAAUUUCUGGGGUUUUAAAUGGAGCCAAAUUUAUUUAAUAAUUUUAAAUUUUAAAUUGAUGUUUGUCUUGUGUUUUUAAAUAGGCUGUACACCGCCCUGAGUCCUUCGGGAGAACGGCGGUAUAGAAAUAUAAUAAUAAUAAUAAUUAUUAUUAUUAUUAUUAUUAUUAUUAUUAUUAUUAUUAUUAUUAUUAUUAUUCACAUGUUAUUAUAGCUUUUACUGCCACUUCUUGUAUAAGUAUUCUGCUCUGUGUGCAUUUCCUGACGUAUCAAUUGUUUGUGCAAGGAAGACUUUCCCUUCUUCUGUUGUUAUACAAGCACAUACAAUAGGAUCAUUGUGGACAUUACUCCACCCAUCAAUACUUAGGUUAACAAUUCUAUCCUCCAGAGCUGUUGCACAUUGCUCCAUUUCUCUGUCAUACACUUUAUCCAGCAGUUUCCCUGCAACAUCUGCUCUGCUGGGUGGACUGUAUCCUGGUCUCAGUGACUGAACCAUAUUAAUGAAAUGUGAGUUCUCAGUCAGACGGAAAGAAGAGUUCGUUGCAUAAACAAACUGGGCAAUUUUUUCAUCAAUUAACUCUUUUUCUAAUCUGCUAGUUUUUAUCACAAACUUAUCUAUGGUGGUUCCAGGAGGGAAGGGUUUUUUCUUUCUUUUAGGUGAUAGUGAUACGUGGCUGUGGGUGUUUGAUGAUGAUGAUGCUAAUGAAGCACUAUCCUGGAUGGAUAACUCUGAAACUGUAGAACAGGAGGAUGGUGAUCUUGAAGGUGGAUAGUUUCCAGAAUCCAUGAAUUCCCCUAAACAAAAGAGUCAGUGCUGUUAUUUUAUUGUUUAUACAAUUUCUGCUUGUUGUACACAGCACUGCCCCAAAAGGAAUAUUUGCUUUUCUUCAUAACUGUACCAAAUGACAGUAACAUGCAGUAAUAAUAAGAAAUAUAAUUUUGCUCAAACAUGACAGUUCAAGGCAGUCUUUAGAAAUAUGAUUCAAUAAAAAUGUUUACCAACCU